GGGGCUGAUUCUGGAUUCGACAGGAUUUGCGUAGCCCUAGGAGCAUGCCGAGGGGCGGUUUGCCUCGUAAAAAGCCGCAAAAAAUAGUCGCAAACGACAAAGACUACGCACUAGCAGCUUAAUACCCUGCUCAGGGCCUUCUCUCCCUAGCUUCCGUUCUUAAGACGGGGAUCAAGAGAAGUCAAACCCAAAAGAACUCGUGUGGAUACCCAGCUUGGGGUUGAAGCACUAAAACUAAUCAGGCUAGUUUGUCAGUGGCGUGUCUGUCCGCAGCUGGCUGGCGAAUGUAAAGACUGACUAAGCAUGUAGUGCCGACGGUGUAGUAAUUCUGGACGGGGGUUCAAAUCCCCCCAGCUCCACCA
rnacentral:tmRNA from 1 species